rnacentral:lncRNA from 1 species
UUACGCGUGUACCUAUCUCCAACUCCGAUAGGGGAAAGAGAUUGAGGAUAGUUUGACAUAACCAGUCAUUCAUUCCUUAGUCACGAGUGAGCAGCUGCUUCUCCUAAAGACUGGGCUCCCAAGGCAUAAGAAAAAGAGAAAGAAAGCGGAUUAGGAAAUAUUCCAAAGAUUGCUUUACUCAUAGACAGGGUUCAGGUUAAGUACGCUUAAAAUAAAAAGGAUAAAAGAAAUAAAUACUAAAAACUGAGGGAGGUGGGAAAGGUUCGGGCUCUUCUUUCUUUGAUUUGAAAAGAAGGUGAGAGCCUUAACCCUCUGGUCUGUGGGUAAACCAUUCAAAGAUAGAAAGCAAGUGUCCUUCCUGAGGAGCAGUUUAUGAAACAGAAAUCCCGAGUAAACAGUCUUGAAGCUGGUGAUCAAAACACU